GACCACUGUGCUGUAUGGAAGGUUUAGUUUCAAGAAUUCAAUAAAAUGAUAGGUUGACCAAAUCCUUUUUGGUCAUUGCUUGUAUAGUAAUAUUUUACUGAUGUAUGGUUUUUGAGAACACUUCUAUGCUCCCUAGGAAGUGUUUGCUCCCAACAAAAUGGUGUAUGUAAACAAAGAGAAAUGUGAGUUUGUUGUGUGAAAUAGCUCAUUAGCUAAUUACCUUCAACCUGUGUGGAGAGUUCAGGGGAUUUUACAAUAACCUGAAAAAUUGUAUUCAAAAAAAAGUGUCAGCAUGACAGAGAUGGGAUAUAUUUUUUCAGAAGAAAUGUAAUCAGUAUUUCUAAAACACUGACUGACAGAAUAAUCAAAACCAAACCAGGCUUGUUACAGGCAAUUGAGUAAAUAAUAUGCAUGCCUGAAAUUACUUUAUAUACUGCACUGCAGAUCUGCUUGAUGGUUCUGAUGACUUUACUAAGAAGAAUGUAUUGCUUCUCAGGAAAGUGAUCAUCAUCGUCUCCAUCUCAUCGCUAAGCAGGGCUAAACAGAGAAUUCUAUAAGAAUAAGAAGCUGCCAUGGAGCUGACUGAUGGGUGGCUUUUAAAACUCUGUUGGUAGCAGUGUGAGAGGACCAGGAAUUCACCAUGUCCUGUUGAAGAUCUCUUAGAAGACAGCGCUGAGGGACAGUUGAAUCCUGUACCACUCUGGAGCCCACACAGGGACAAGGGUCCACAUGUCUUGGUAAUUCAGCUCCAGUAUUCCAGAAAUACUUCAUGUCCAAUCAGGAACUGCACAAGCUCAGUGUGGAAGAAAAGACAAUGACUGUGGAUACUGACAUAACUGCUGACGAAGCCCAGGCAUAAACAGUACAUAAAUCUGCUUGUUCCCAGCCCAGUCCACACUGCUGCCAGCACACCAGCACAAGUCCUCCUUUGCUACUCAGAGAUGGUCACACAUCCUCUUCUU
rnacentral:lncRNA from 1 species